rnacentral:rRNA from 1 species
UACGAAGGGGGCUAGCGUUGCUCGGAAUCACUGGGCGUAAAGGGCGCGUAGGCGGCGUUUUAAGUCGGGGGUGAAAGCCUGUGGCUCAACCACAGAAUGGCCUUCGAUACUGGGACGCUUGAGUAUGGUAGAGGUUGGUGGAACUGCGAGUGUAGAGGUGAAAUUCGUAGAUAUUCGCAAGAACACCGGUGGCGAAGGCGGCCAACUGGGCCAUUACUGACGCUGAGGCGCGAAAGCGUGGGGAGCAAACAGG